UCCUAUUUUCCAUUGUGGCUUUUUUUUUUUUGAAGCUCUCCCACCCUCAGCACUAGGGCCGUUGGGGGGCAGCUCACCACUAGCAUGUCGAGGGGCCGCGGGAAAAAAGUAUUUUGCUACUUUUGCCGGGGGGAGGGGGCGGGGGGGUGAGUAAUUUCCUGGGAAAUUUGCCCUUUAGUCGAGGGGGUUAACAGUGUGGAAACCGACUUUUUUAAUCCCGCAUACCGCCCUACAGGGGGAAAAGCAGGGGACCCUUCGGGCCCUUGCGCGAAUUGGAAUAUCGCCCAGGUGGGUUUUAGCUAGUUGGUGAGGUAAUGGCUCCCCAAGGGGACGAUCCCUAGCUGGUCUGGAGAGGAUGUUCAGCCCCCCUGGAACUGGGACCCGGUCCCAGAUUCCUUCGGGAGGCAGCCAGUGGGGAAUUUUGCCCAAUGGGGGAAACCCUGAUGCAGCCAUGCCGGGGUGUGUGAAGAAGGCCUUCGGGUUGUAAAGCACUUUCAGCGAGGAGGAAAGGUUGAUGCCUAAUACGUAUCAACUGUGACGUUACUCGCAGAAGAAGCACCGGCUAACUCCGUGCCAGCAGCCGCGGUAAUACGGAGGGUGCAAGCGUUAAUCGGAAUUACUGGGCGUAAAGCGCACGCAGGCGGUUGGAUAAGUUAGAUGUGAAAGCCCCGGGCUCAACCUGGGAAUUGCAUUUAAAACUGUCCAGCUAGAGUCUUGUAGAGGGGGGUAGAAUUCCAGGUGUAGCGGUGAAAUGCGUAGAGAUCUGGAGGAAUACCGGUGGCGAAGGCGGCCCCCUGGACAAAGACUGACGCUCAGGUGCGAAAGCGUGGGGAGCAAACAGGAUUAGAUACCCUGGUAGUCCACGCCGUAAACGAUGUCGAUUUGGAGGCUGUGUCCUUGAGACGUGGCUUCCGGAGCUAACGCGUUAAAUCGACCGCCUGGGGAGUACGGCCGCAAGGUUAAAACUCAAAUGAAUUGACGGGGGCCCGCACAAGCGGUGGAGCAUGUGGUUUAAUUCGAUGCAACGCGAAGAACCUUACCUGGCCUUGACAUGUCUGGAAUCCUGUAGAGAUUCCGGGAGUGCCUUCGGGAAUCAGAACCACAGGUGCUGCAUGGCUGUCGUCAGCUCGUGUCGUGAGAUGGUUGGGUUAAGUCCCGCAACGAGGGCAACCCCUGUCCUUUGUUGCCAGCACGUAAUGGUGGGAACUCAAGGGAGACUGCCGGUGAUAAACCGGAGGAAGGUGGGGGAUGACGUCAAGUCAUCAUGGCCCUUACGGCCAGGGUUACAACACGUGCUACAAUGGCGCCGGUACAGAGGGUUGCAAGCUAGCGCAUAGUUGAGCGAAUCCCAAAAAGCGCGUCGUGAUUCCGGAAUGGGUGUCUGGGACCUCGCCUCCGUGAAGUGGGAAUCGCUCGUAAUUCGCAAAUCAAGAAUGUUGCGGUGAAUACUUUCCCGGGCCUUGUACACACCGCCCGUCCCACCCUGGGGGUGGGUUGCACCCAGAAGUAGAUAGCUUUACCUCUCGGGAGGGCGUUUACCGUAGAGAUCACUUGCGGUGGUUGGUAAUUUCCAAAGUCUCACACUUAA
rnacentral:rRNA from 1 species